rnacentral:rRNA from 2 species
AUGGCUCUCUGUAAGUAAUAAAUGGAGAGUCUGGCCUGCCCAGUGACUGUCAUGUUAAACGGCCGCGGUACUCUGACCGUGCGAAGGUAGCAUAAUCAUUUGUCUUAUAAUUGAAGUCUGGAAUGAAUGGCUGAACAAGAGCGAAGCUGUCUCUAAGUACACUAUAAAAUUUUAUGAUUGAGUUAAAAAGCUCAAAUCGAAUUAAAAGACGAGAAGACCCUAUCGAGCUUAAGGAAAAUAAAAGAUCUUUUAACAUUAAUGUAUAAUAUUUGUCUAUAAAACUUUAGUUGGGGCGACUCGAGAACAGUAAAAGCUUCUUGUAAUUAGAAUAAAUUUACUUAUGGUAGAUCCACUCCUAGUGAUCAAAAGAAUUAGUUACCGUAGGGAUAACAGCAUAAUCUUUUUUGAGAGCUCAAAUCGAAAAAAAUGUUUGUGACCUCGAUGUUGGACCAAGGUAUCCUAAGGAUGUAGAAGUCUUUAAGGGUUGGUCUGUUCGACCAUUAAAACCUUACGUGAUCUGAGUUCAGACCGG